rnacentral:tRNA from 1 species
GGUAAAAUGGCUGAGAAUUAAGCGGCGGGUUGUAAUUCCGAUUAGAUAGGUUAAAAUCCUUUUUUUACUA